GUUUUAAGUUGUAUUUACUAAAUUCUAUUCAAUUCUGGUAGUAUAUUUUGAAAUAAGAUGGAAUCUCAUAAAAUACUUACACAACCAAUAGAAUCUGAUCUAAAUAAUAUUUCAAAUAAUAAAAAUCAACUAACCACAUACGGAAAUUCAUAUAUAACUUUGGAAGGAGUACCGUCGAAAUCACAAAAUGUGGAAAUUGAUUCAAACAUUGCCAAAAGAAGAUUUUUUACUCCUAAAUCUAUUAAAAUUGUGAGGCUUAAAUAUUAUACUCCAAAUGCUUAGAUGAAGGAAUUAAAUUGGAUGUUUUAAAAAUAAUGUCUUCACCAUAUACAGAAAUUUUUACUCGUGGGUUUAAAUUACAUACACGUGUGGAAUUCGAUCACAACUUGCGAAAUUAGCAAAAAGAAAACAGGAACGAUUUUGUUUUCAAAAUACUUUGUCAAGUAAUAUUUCAACUCCUACAGAAAAAACUCUGUGUACAAAAAAAGUAAUAGAAGUCGAUGUCAAAGAAAUAUUAGACAAUACAACAUAUAGGACAAUCUGUACUACAUUUCUAAUCAGUUACGGAUGGUACCCGAACUAUUUCAGUGGAUUUAAUAGUCAACUACAUAAUUCAAAAAAUUAUAAAAAUGACUGUGCAAUUAUGUGAGCGUAUUGCAGACCAAAUUGUUAAAUUGUUUCCUAAGAAACUAAAAGAAAUAUAUUUCUUACGAUGUACAGGAAAAGCUCCUGUGGGAAAAAUUUAUUUCAAAUACUAUAAUCGGGUU